rnacentral:rRNA from 1 species
GACGAACGCUGGCGGCGUGCUUAACACAUGCAAGUCGAACGGAAAGGCCCUGCUUUUGUGGGGUGCUCGAGUGGCGAAAGGGUGAGUAACACGUGAGUAACCUGCCCUUGACUUUGGGAUAACUUCAGGAAACUGGGGCUAAUACCGGAUAGGAGCUCCUGCUGCAUGGGGGGGGUUGGAAAGUUUCGGCGGUUGGGGAUGGACUCGCGGCUUAUCAGCUUGUUGGUGGGGUAGUGGCUUACCAAGGCUUUGACGGGUAGCCGGCCUGAGAGGGUGACCGGCCACAUUGGGACUGAGAUACGGCCCAGACUCGUACGGGAGGCAGCAGGGGGGAAUAUUGCACAAUGGGCGGAAGCCUGAUGCAGCAACGCCGCGUGCGGGAUGACGGCCUUCGGGUUGUAAACCGCUUUCGCCUGUGACGAAGCGUGAGUGACGGUAAUGGGUAAAGAAGCACCGGCUAACUACGUG